GCAGACCUCAUGUGUGCAAGAUCCGGUUUUCCAUAACCAAAACUACUAGUUUGCAAUCCGAUUCCUGCACGGAUCCUUGCAUUCCCAGGAUAUGCACGAAUUUCUUCAAAUCUCUUCAGGUAAUUGACAGGAUGUGCAGUUGUGUCACGGUUAUUUUCGACCGUGUUGUACUCGUUCAUGAACAAUCUAACAUCCGGAUCGAUCAGGUGAGCUUCCCUAAAGAAGUGUGCUGACGCAUCUUUCCCAAGUCUGUCCUCAAAGAAGCUGAAAUGAAGAUUCUCAUUAACCACAUCCCAUGCAAUGAGUUCCCCUUUGUACCUUGACACCACUGAUUCUAUCCUCUCUUCGGCAGCUUCUCGUAGUUGGGUCCCGGUAAGGUUCAUGACCCACUCAGGUUGCUCCUUGGGGUUGUCCCAGAAUAUGUUGUGGCCUCUGAUUGAAAUGCCAUUUUGCUUGCAGAACUGCAGCAUGGCAUCCGGUGUGGUGUAGUUCUCUUGGCCUUGGACCACCUCGGUGCUAUACCACUUCAUGGCGUUUGUGAAAGUCGUGUACUUGAAUCUCGAAGCGAACCAUUGCUGGUAGGAUGAGCAGUUGAGGAUGUAGGCGUU
rnacentral:lncRNA from 1 species